rnacentral:lncRNA from 10 species
CUGUAAGAGUGCAUAUAACUUGUAGUCAAGAACGAAAGCAUACUUUAGGAUGUUAAAGAACACCCCCAAAAUGGCUUUAUAAUUAAAAAAUAUAUACUAUAACUAUACAAAUCCUUGGAAUGAUGCCAUGCUAACUUAAAGAGUUGUUUCAGCAAUAUGACAAAGAUAACUCAGAGCUUUGUCAUUUAUUUAUGAAGAUAUAUAAAUGCUAGAUAUAUUCAAUAAAACAAUGUUUAAUGGCAUACCUGAAUUCAAAAACAAGAAAAUGACAGAUAAAUAGGAGGUACUUUAAAUUCAGGACCUAGGACUUCAGCAACAAGAGGCAAAUUGCCCAACAUUUAAGUCUUCAGGUAUACCUAAAGGUGUUUUUAAUGCCCAUGUAGGUACAGAAGACAUGGCUUUGGGCUCAGGAAAGGUGGGGGAGCUAAAGCAUCAUGCCCACCAUAAAGCUGGGAUAAGAGAAGAGCUGCUGCCUCAGUGAAAAGGGGAUAAGAACAAUUCUACCCACUGAUACAGAAAGCAAAAAGGAAACUUGUCUUUGUUGGGAUUCUGAGGAGAGGAAAAAAAAGUCACCUGUGAAAACUAAAAACUCCAAGCCUGACCAAAUUUAUGUCAUCUAUGGGCAUGGACAUUCCUAGUUUGAAAAAUUAACAAUAAGACUUAUCUAAGUUUGGUGAAAUCCUUGGAGCAUCCAGCAAAAACAAAAAUGAAAACAUUCCCAACCAGAACUUCUAUGUAUGCAAGAACUCCAAUAGGAAAAAAAUGAAGCUAAGACAAGAACACUUUUCUGUUUAAAUAAACUCUCACACACAAAUAAAUUCUAAGCCAUGGUGGAAAGUGAGCACACACAACAAAUAUAAGAAUUAUGUACUCCUCCUUACUGUCAAAUAUGAUAUAAUCAAAUCAAACAAUGUGAAAUCAUCUAUAAAACCAAAUGAUUAGAGUAAAAAAGGGAAAAAUAAAUAUCAAAACAUAUGACACUAUAAAAAUAUAUGAUCAAUUUGAAAAAGAAAAAUGACCUUUAGAUAGGAAGAAAAAGUCCUUGAAUAAAAGUUAGUUGAGGCCGGGCAUGGUGGCUCAUGCCUGUAAUCCCAGCACUUUGGGAGGCCGAGGUGGGCGGAUCACCAGGUCAGGAGAUUGAGACCAUCCUGCUCAAUCAACGUGGUGAAACUCUGUCUCUACUAAGAAUACAAAAAUUAGCCAGGCAUGGUGGCAUGUGCCUGUAGUCCCAGCUACUUGGGAGGCUGAAGCAGGAGAAUUGCUUGAACCCAGGAGGUGGAGGUUGCAAUGAGCCAAGAUUGCGCCACUGCACUCCAGCCUGGCGACAGAGCAAGACUCUGUCUCAAAAAAAAAAAAAAAAAAAAAAAAAAAGCUAGUUGACAUAAAGCUUAGACAAUUUAAGAGGGAAUUAACAAAUGGAAGGCAGACAAGGAAAUUACCCCAAUUGCAGCACAAAGAGAUAAAGAAACAGGACAAAACAAAGGCUUAAGCACAGAGUAUAGAAGAUCAAACAUAUGCUGAAGUAGGAGUUAUAGAAGGAGAGAAAACACAGAAGAUGGGGGAAAUAUAAUAUUCAAAGGGAUAUUUGUUGAUAAUUUUUCAGAGUUGAUGAAAGAUAUGAAUCCUCAGAUAGCAGAACAUCAAAGACAAUAGGAAAAUCCUAAAAGCAAACAGAGAGAAAAGACUACCUACAAAGGAAGGAUUAAUUUCUUGGCAUAGAGAAAGGAGAAUGGAAUGGGAAUAAGCAUUUAGUUGUAUCUGUAAUAUUUUAUUCCUUCAAAAAAUAAUCUGGAGCAAAUAUGAAAACAUGACUGUAAAAUAAGUGUGGACAAAGACAAGUUUGGGAGUUUUCUUUAAAGAAGACUGGUAAUACGCUAAUGGUGCAGCAAGUCUGUCCCCAAAGAGUGGAAGUGAAUGAGACCUGGGUAUUUUCCAUGGAAUGAUUCACCAGUGGUUCACACCGAAGGAAAAGGGUUGGAGAGAGACUCAUGACCAUAAUUCAUACUGAGGUCUCUUUGAAGACAAGAAACCUAUUUUUUCAUCUUUGACUCUCCAAUAACUUAUAAAUAUUUGUUGUAUAAAUAUUUGUUUAAUGAUGAUUGAAUGAGUUUUUAUUCUGAG